GAGCUAGUCGUCUAACGGUAAGACAAUUGCCUUUUAAGCAAUACAUAUAAGUUCGAUUCUUAUCUAACUCA
rnacentral:tRNA from 1 species